AUAUUUAUUGAAGGGCUGCGCGUAAUUUGACCGUGCAAAGGUAGCAUAAUCAAUAGUCUUUUAAUUGGAGGCUUGGAUGAAAGGUUUGACGGAGGGAAAACUGUCUUUUUAAUUGAUAUUGAAUUUAACUUUUAUGUGAAAAGGCAUUAAUGAUUUAGUGGGACGAUAAGACCCUAUAAAGUUUUACAUGUGUAUUGAUUUAAUUAAAUUGUUUAUUUAAUAAUUAAAUUAUUGAGAUGUGUUUUGCUGGGGCGGCAUGAAUAUAAUGAUUAACUGUUUUUAAUAUCAUAUAUUUAUAGAUAGUGAGUGGUCCYUUAUUUAAGAGGUUAAGAUCAAGUUACUUUAGGGAUAACAGCG
rnacentral:rRNA from 1 species